AGGCCCGUAGUUCAAUUGGCAGAGCACCUGACUUUGGCUCAGGAUGUUGCUGGUUCGAGUCCAGCCGGGCCUGCCA
rnacentral:tRNA from 1 species